UACGGGAGGCAGCAGUGGAGAAUAUUGCACAAUGGGCGCAAGCCUGAUGCAGCCAUGCCGCGUGUAUGAAGAAGGCCUUCGGGUUGUAAAGUACUUUCAGUCGUGAGGAAGGUGUUAAGGUUAAUAACCUUAGCAAUUGACGUUAGCGACAGAAGAAGCACCGGCUAACUCCGUGCCAGCAGCCGCGGUAAUACGGAGGGUGCGAGCGUUAAUCGGAAUUACUGGGCGUAAAGGGCACGCAGGCGGUUAAUUAAGUUGGAUGUGAAAUCCCCGGGCUUAACCUGGGAAUGGCAUUCAAGACUGGUUAGCUAGAGUCUUGUAGAGGGGGUAGAAUUCCAUGUGUAGCGGUGAAAUGCGUAGAGAUGUGGAGGAAUACCGGUGGCGAAGGCGGCCCCUGGACAAAGACUGACGCUCAUGUGCGAAAGCGUGGGGAGCAAACAGGAUUAGAUACC
rnacentral:rRNA from 1 species